rnacentral:rRNA from 1 species
UGGGGAAUAUUGGACAAUGGGCGCAAGCCUGAUCCAGCCAUGCCGCGUGAGUGAUGAAGGCCCUAGGGUUGUAAAGCUCUUUCACCGGUGAAGAUAAUGACGGUAACCGGAGAAGAAGCCCCGGCUAACUUCGUGCCAGCAGCCGCGGUAAUACGAAGGGGGCUAGCGUUGUUCGGAAUUACUGGGCGUAAAGCGCACGUAGGCGGGUAUUUAAGUCAGGGGUGAAAUCCCGGAGCUCAACUCCGGAACUGCCUUUGAUACUGGGUACCUAGAGUAUGGAAGAGGUGAGUGGAAUUCCGAGUGUAGAGGUGAAAUUCGUAGAUAUUCGGAGGAACACCAGUGGCGAAGGCGGCUCACUGGUCCAUUACUGACGCUGAGGUGCGAAAGCGUGGGGAGCAAACA